rnacentral:rRNA from 1 species
UACGGGGGGGGCAAGCGUUGUUCGGAAUUACUGGGCGUAAAGGGCUCGUAGGUGGCCAACUAAGUCGGACGUGAAAUCCCUCAGCUUAACUGGGGAACUGCGUCCGAUACUGGAUGGCUUGAGUUUGGGAGAGGGAUGCGGAAUUCCAGGUGUAGCGGUGAAAUGCGUAGAGAUCAGGAGGAACACCCGUGGCGAAGGCGGCCCUCUGGCUCGACCCUGACGCUGAGGCGCGAAAGCGUGGGGAGCGAACGGG